ACGCUGGCGGCGUGCUUAACACAUGCAAGUCGAACGAGGAUACGUUGGAAGGGUUGGCCUGGAAGGCGUAAUUCGAGUGGCGGACGGGUGAGUAACGCGUGAACAAUCUGUCCCGGACAGGGGAAUAACACUUGGAAACAGGUGCUAAUACCGCAUAAGACCACGCCCUCGCAUGGGGGAGGGGUAAAAGGAGGAAUCCGGUUCGGGGUGAGUUCGCGUCCGAUUAGAUAGUUGGUGAGGUAACGGCCCACCAAGUCGACGAUCGGUAGCCGACCUGAGAGGGUGAUCGGCCACAUUGGAACUGAGAGACGGUCCAAACUCCUACGGGAGGCAGCAGUGGGGAAUAUUGGGCAAUGGGCGAAAGCCCUGACCCAGCAACGCCGCGUGAGUGAAGAAGGCUUUCGGGUUGUAAAGCUCUGUUAUAGGGGACGAAGGAAGUGACGGUACCCUAUAAGGAAGCCCCGGCUAACUACGUGCCAGCCGCUGC
rnacentral:rRNA from 1 species